GACGGAAGGUGCAAGCGUUGCUCGGAAUCACUGGGCGUAAAGGGUGCGUAGGCGGCCGUGCAAGUCUGGCGUGAAAGCCCCGGGCUCAGCCCGGGAAGUGCGCUCGAAACUGCGCGGCUCGAGUGCCGGAGGGGAGAGUGGAAUUCCUGGUGUAGCGGUGAAAUGCGUAGAUAUCAGGAAGAACACCGGUGGCGAAGGCAGGUCUCUGGGCCGAUACUGACGCUGAGGAGCGAAAGCGUGGGGAGCGAACAGG
rnacentral:rRNA from 1 species